CGGUCCUAAGGUAGCGAAAUUCCUUGUCGGGUAAGUUCCGACCUGCACGAAUGGCGUAACGAUUUGGGCGCUGUCUCGACCAUGGACCCGGUGAAAUUGCACUGGUCGUGAAGAUGCGACUUACCCGCGGAAGGACGGAAAGACCCCGUGAACCUUCACUGCAGCUUGGCAUUGGCCGCUGGUCCCGCGUGUAGAGGAUAGGCAGGAGGCACAGAUCCGGAGGCGCCAGCCCCCGGGGAGCCGCCCUUGGAAUACUGCCCUCGCGCGACCGGCGUCCUAACCCGAGGCCGUCAACCGGCUCGGGGACCGUGCCAGGCGGGCAGUUUGACUGGGGCGGUCGCCUCCUAAAGGGUAACGGAGGCGCGCGAAGGUCCGCUCGGGACGGUCGGCAACCGUCCUUUUGAAUGCAAGAGUACAAGCGGGCUUGACUGCGAGGCCCACAAGCCGAGCAGGUGCGAAAGCAGGCUCUAGUGAUCCGGCGGCCCCGAGUGGGUGGGCCGUCGCUCAACGGAUAAAAGGUACUCCGGGGAUAACAGGCUGAUCUUGCCCAAGAGUCCACAUCGACGGCAAGGUUUGGCACCUCGAUGUCGGCUCAUCGCAUCCUGGGGCUGUAGCAGGUCCCAAGGGUUGGGCUGUUCGCCCAUUAAAGCGGUACGCGAGCUGGGUUCAGAACGUCGUGAGACAGUUCGGUCCCUAUCCUCCGUGGGCGCAGGAGAAUCGAUGGAGGCUGCCCCCAGUACGAGAGGACCGGGGUGGACGCACCUCCGGUGAACCGGUUGUCGACCAACGGCACGGCCGGGUAGCCGCGUGCGGCGCGGAUAACCGCUGAAGGCAUCUAAGCGGGAAGCCGUUCCAGGGAUUAGUUCUCCUUCCGGUAAGGGCCCAGGUAGACUACCUGGUCGAUAGACGGCAGGUGCAAGGGCGGCGACGUCCUCAGCCGAGCCGCACUAAUCGCCCGAGCUCUUCCGGAA
rnacentral:rRNA from 1 species